rnacentral:rRNA from 1 species
AUGCAGUCGAGCGGAGAUGAGGUGCUUGCACCUUAUCUUAGCGGCGGACGGGUGAGUAAUGCUUAGGAAUCUGCCUAUUAGUGGGGGACAACAUUCCGAAAGGAAUGCUAAUACCGCAUACGCCCUACGGGGGAAAGCAGGGGAUCUUCGGACCUUGCGCUAAUAGAUGAGCCUAAGUCGGAUUAGCUAGUUGGUGGGGUAAAGGCCUACCAAGGCGACGAUCUGUAGCGGGUCUGAGAGGAUGAUCCGCCACACUGGGACUGAGACACGGCCCAGACUCCUACGGGAGGCAGCAGUGGGGAAUAUUGGACAAUGGGCGGAAGCCUGAUCCAGCCAUGCCGCGUGUGUGAAGAAGGCCUUUUGGUUGUAAAGCACUUUAAGCGAGGAGGAGGCUACUUAGAUUAAUACUCUAGGAUAGUGGACGUUACUCGCAGAAUAAGCACCGGCUAACUCUGUGCCAGCAGCCGCGGUAAUACAGAGGGUGCGAGCGUUAAUCGGAUUUACUGGGCGUAAAGCGUGCGUAGGCGGCUGAUUAAGUCGGAUGUGAAAUCCCUGAGCUUAACUUAGGAAUUGCAUUCGAUACUGGUCAGCUAGAGUAUGGGAGAGGAUGGUAGAAUUCCAGGUGUAGCGGUGAAAUGCGUAGAGAUCUGGAGGAAUACCGAUGGCGAAAGCAGCCAUCUGGCCUAAUACUGACGCUGAGGUACGAAAGCAUGGGGAGCAAACAGGAUUAGAUACCCUGGUAGUCCAUGCCGUAACGAUG